rnacentral:rRNA from 1 species
CUAUGCGCCUUGCCAGCCCGCUCAGGUGUGCCAGCAGCGCGGUAAUACGGAGGAUGCGAGCGUUAUCCGGAUUUAUGGGUUUAAAGGGUGCGUAGGUGGUUAAUUAAGUCAGCGGUGAAAGUUUGUGGCUCAACCAUAAAAUUGCCGUUGAAACUGGUUGACUUGAGUAUAUUUGAGGUAGGCGGAAUGCGUGGUGUAGCGGUGAAAUGCAUAGAUAUCACGCAGAACUCCGAUUGCGAAGGCAGCUUACUAAACUAUAACUGACACUGAAGCACGAAAGCGUGGGAUCAAACAGG